CUCAGGAUGAACGCUGGCGGCGUGCCUAAUACAUGCAAGUCGAGCGAACAGAUGAGAAGCUUGCUUCUCUGAUGUUAGCGGCGGACGGGUGAGUAACACGUGGGUAACCUACCUAUAAGACUGGGAUAACUCCGGGAAACCGGGGCUAAUACCGGAUAAUAUUUUGAACCGCAUGGUUCAAUAGUGAAAGACGGUUUCGGCUGUCACUUAUAGAUGGACCCGCGCCGUAUUAGCUAGUUGGUAAGGUAACGGCUUACCAAGGCGACGAUACGUAGCCGACCUGAGAGGGUGAUCGGCCACACUGGAACUGAGACACGGUCCAGACUCCUACGGGAGGCAGCAGUAGGGAAUCUUCCGC
rnacentral:rRNA from 1 species